AACCUUACCUACCCUUGACAUGUCAGGAAUCUUGCAGAGAUGUGAGAGUGCUCGAAAGAGAACCUGAACACAGGUGCUGCAUGGCCGUCGUCAGCUCGUGUCGUGAGAUGUUGGGUUAAGUCCCGCAACGAGCGCAACCCUUGUCAUUAGUUGCUACGAAAGGGCACUCUAAUGAGACUGCCGGUGACAAACCGGAGGAAGGUGGGGAUGACGUCAGGUCAUCAUGGCCCUUAUGGGUAGGGCUACACACGUCAUACAAUGGCCGGGACAGAGGGCUGCCAACCCGCGAGGGGGAGCUAAUCCCAGAAACCCGGUCGUAGUCCGGAUCGCAGUCUGCAACUCGACUGCGUGAAGUCGGAAUCGCUAGUAAU
rnacentral:rRNA from 1 species